UCUUGCUCAAAUGAGUAUUCCA
rnacentral:miRNA from 12 species